GGUUAAGCGACUAAGCGUACACGGUGGAUGCCCUGGCAGUCAGAGGCGAUGAAGGACGUGCUAAUCUGCGAUAAGCGCCGGUAAGGUGAUAUGAACCGUUAUAACCGGCGAUUUCCGAAUGGGGAAACCCAGUGUGAUUCGUCACACUAUCAUUAACUGAAUCCAUAGGUUAAUGAGGCGAACCGGGGGAACUGAAACAUCUAAGUACCCCGAGGAAAAGAAAUCAACCGAGAUUCCCCCAGUAGCGGCGAGCGAACGGGGAGGAGCCCAGAGCCUGAAUCAGCAUGUGUGUUAGUGGAAGCGUCUGGAAAGGUGCGCGAUACAGGGUGACAGCCCCGUACACAAAAGCGCAUGUGCUGUGAGCUCGAUGAGUAGGGCGGGACACGUGGUAUCCUGUCUGAAUAUGGGGGGACCAUCCUCCAAGGCUAAAUACUCCUGACUGACCGAUAGUGAACCAGUACCGUGAGGGAAAGGCGAAAAGAACCCCGGCGAGGGGAGUGAAAAAGAACCUGAAACCGUGUACGUACAAGCAGUGGGAGCACAGGUUUACCUGUGUGACUGCGUACCUUUUGUAUAAUGGGUCAGCGACUUAUAUUCUGUAGCAAGGUUAACCGUAUAGGGGAGCCGUAGGGAAACCGAGUCUUAAUUGGGCGUUAAGUUGCAGGGUAUAGACCCGAAACCCGGUGAUCUAGCCAUGGGCAGGUUGAAGGUUGGGUAACACUAACUGGAGGACCGAACCGACUAAUGUUGAAAAAUUAGCGGAUGACCUGUGGCU
rnacentral:rRNA from 1 species